rnacentral:lncRNA from 1 species
AAUAUAUUGAAGAAGAAAAAAACAUGGGGUCUGAACAUUUGAAUUGGAUCCUGGAAAAUGUGAGUGCUUUCAUGCUGAAAGAAGAAACAAAGACAGAUCUACCAAGCUGGAAGACGGAUAUCAAUAAUACUUUUGACGAAGAUUUGGUCAAGUUUGAGGAUGGCAUUUUGCUAUCGCCUCUGGUGAGACUGACUUACUUGCGGCAUCUUCGAAAUACGCUGAAAAACAAUUACCUCCAAUGCCAAAAAGGAUUCAAAGACUGCAGCGACAUGAUAACAAAGCGUAUUGAAAACUGUGCAAUACUAAUGGAACAGAAAGCUUUAAGGUUAUGCAUGGUCGCUAGCUAUUAUCAAAGGACCAUGGCCACUAUUAUAAGUGAUAUUAAAAAUCUCACAAACAGCAGCCAAUUGAAUAAAGAGCUAGGAAGAUGCCUUUGUAGUGAUUAUUUAUGUCUCCGUGAGGACAAAAAUAUUCAGACUGAAUUUCGUCCUUGUAGAUUAAGCCGAGGGGUACAGACCUCGGAUCACAAACCUUGGACGGAGACAGACUUGGAUACGCUUUCAAGUCAGCGCAUUACAAAGUUGAGUCGUAGGACUUCCCUCAGCCACAACGAAAAUCCUCAGUUUAACAAAUCAUUUCAUGAUAAUAUGAGUGCAAAUCUCAGUCCAUUGCAAGCUUUUAAUCACACUGGCAAUUCUUACAAGUCAUCUCACAAACCAGUUCCUAAUCAUUUGUCGAGAAACAACUCUCGCAAACGCUCCUUUCAGGAUCUCACAGGGUGCGCACAAAGUCAGCCAGAAAGUUCAUUUUCAUUAACGCCUCAAAGCAAUUAUGACUGCACAGGUCAGAGUGUUAUCGUCAAAAAAAUUAUCGAUGAUUAUGCAGCUAGUUUUUCAGGGGAAGAGAACUCCUCUGUCGGCAAAAAAGCAAAAUCGAAUGUUGAAGAGACUGAUUCUAAAACGUAUGACAGUUUAGAUGAUAGAUUGCAAGCUCUCUUUGCUGAUGACCCUCCGUGUAGUAACAAAAUGUCAGUUGAUGUUCCUAGCAUCAGAAGCAGCCACAAGUCUUGUGAAGAAAUAAUGAAAGAUUUACUGGGAUCAGAUGAUGAUGACUUUCCUCUGGACAGCCAAGAAAUUGAAGAGCUCAGCCGGGAUUUGUCGGACAAUGAACAUGAUAAUAAUUCAGUCUCUCAGUCCCCGGUCGAAUCUGAGAUCAAAGAAAUCAAGAGACCUAAAAUAUCUAGUCCCAUCAGUUCGGAGAUCGACAGUGCGCAUAAUGCUAAACUCGUCUUGUCAGAGCUUGAGGUUGACCCGAAUGUUCGGCUCAAGUCUCAUUUAGUUCCGUGGCUAUCCGAACGUGUUGCUCAAGUGUGUUACUUUAACAAGCUCAUGCAGCGAAUGCCCCCUGACAAAAGGCGGGCUCUGGAGAAACAAUGUUUAGAUUUGUUUGGGGCCUGCUGCAUGUUCGAUAAUGAUGAUCUCUCGGCAGAAGAACAAGAGAUAAUCUGCCGAAAACGUAUCGCGAAGAUUGUUUGUCAUUACCUUCGACCUUACUUCAAGUCCAAACAAAUAGGGAACAAGGAUUUGUUCCAGACCAUCGCCAAGCAUAUCACGGAAGAACUGCUGAACAAGCAUUUGGCUGCAGGUAAGGGCUCAUCUCAGACACUCGUUAUUUUGCAUGCAGAACAAAUUUUUCAUCCGGUAGGCCAGUGGAUGAAUUUUACUCUCUUCAGCCAAUAGUGAAAAUACCAGUGUUUUGCAUUAAAAUAGGAAGAACUUGGGGUCUAGGAAAGUGUGACACAAUUUCUCAGGGCAAGUGCAGACUUACGAGACAAUGGAAGCAGUGGCAAGGGGUUCUACGGAUAUAUCAAUUGAUCCACCACUUACACCUAUGAAAAAGGUUGAGAAACAGGGUGUUCGUAACAAACGUCUUAAUAAUGAAUUCUUUACCAUAGCUUCAAAUGGAGGAAUAUUGAUAAUCAAUGUUUCUCGCCUCGCCACUGAAUGGGAGAGAGGAAGAGUUUGAAAUUCCAAAAUUCAGUUUGUCGAAUUUCCGAAGAACCGCCUAGAUAAAUCCAUAAUCAUUAAUCAUAAGCUAUCUCUCAUGAUUUUCCAUAAUAAUUAAACAUUAAGCCCAAAAUUUGUGCUGCGUAAACUACAGGAAAGGCUUUAUCAUAAUACUAUAAAAUUUGUGGUCAUUCCCAAAGUUACUUAGAGUAAUAAAUAAUGGUUUUAGACAGAUACAGUAAUUUGUGAAGAAUAAAAUCGGAACGAAAAGUAUGGGAACAAUUUUUUAUGCAUCAUGGGUUUCUAAUACUGGGUAACUUUAUCCGACAAAAAGCCAAAAUGUUUUGUCAAAGUUUUCUCACAAUAGAUAGUUUUUCAGCUUCUUUUAUAUUUUUACUUUUAUCAAUUUUUAGUUAAUUUUGAAUUUUUUUUUUUUCUAGAUGAAAUAUGGCGAGAAAAAGUGUUCAAAGGUUCUUUGAAAAAAAUGGAAAAAUUAAAUGCAUUGAACAGUUACCAUUUGAUGUAAAACCGAAAAUUCCCAUCAUCGAUGCUUCUAAGUCGAGGAGUAGGUUAGAAAACUUACGAUUUAAUUGAUACUCAUGUCUGUUCCUAGUUGUAAGAUAGCAAUAUUGUUUCAGGGAAGACCCAUCAUAGUAGUCGGUUAAGUUUCAUUUUUUUGACGUUAUUACAGUAGUUGCUGGGUAGGAUAUUCCAUGUGACGAUUAUAUUGUGAUAAUCUCUUGAAAUCAUUUCUCAGUAAACUCUUCAGUACUGAUCCUCUGUCUGUUAACCAUUUUUUACGUUAUCACACUAUUCUUUACAUGACAGUCAUUUAUAAAAUUUUCCUUCUUAACAUUACAAGAUAUGAGUUGGAAAAAGUCAUUGAUUUUUUCUUGAAUAGAUAGGAAGCAAAGUACUUAUGACAUGAACUGAACAGUUUCAUAAGAUUAUUGUGUUGAAUUUUUGCUCUUGGUUUAAAAUAAAAUUAUAAAAAUUUUAUAUUGGAAUGUCUUCUUACACCUAUCAGCCCCUUUUAUGAGAGAACGAUCGAAAGUUAAAUUCGCUUUUCAUGUCCUCCUUCAAUGUAAUACGAAGGAAAAGAAACAUGAUUUAAAAAGGUAUUAAUGCGAAGCUUCCAACUUACUUUAAGUUUCUUCGAUCGUUUAGAGUGUUGAAAAAUAAAAAGGAACAAACGUAACAGUCCAAACUUUAAAAUUAAGUAUUUCUUCUUCUUUGCUUUCUCAUUCUAUCGGAGCAAGUGGUAGAGGUUUCUAUGAGAAUUUUUUCACAAGCCUAGAUGCUCACUCAGAAAUGGUUGAGGAGAGGUCAGCAUUAAACAACUUGUCCAUUCCUUUUAAACAAAUAACAAAGUUUGACUAUCAAAAUGAAAAACAACGCUUGUUCUCAGCGUUAGGCAUAGAUGAACUUGAAAUUUUAACCUGAGGGGAGGGGAGCCGGUACUCAGUGCGCUUAUUUAGUCAUUUCUCCAUAAAGUAGGAAGUGAUGUAUGAUAGUUUGAUAGAUAUGUAUUUAUCUUCACUCCCUGUUGUUGCUCAUCUGUAAAGCAAGGGUGAUUUCCCUAUCACAGACCCUUUCCACUCUAAUGAUUUAGGAAUCAUUAACAUUUCUUUGGAAUUUUACAAUUGCCACUUGCUCUAAAUAAAAAAGACAAGCCAUGCGAGUUUUUUUCCACAAGAGUUAGGCAUUCACACUCUAUAAUCCGUACAAAUUUUCGGAAAUACCGAAGAGUUAAACCCUCAAAUCUCAAGAACUUCCACAACCGUUCCUUUUUAUUAUGUCACCCGAGGUACUUUUUUCCGAAGGAGUGGAGUAAAUUUCCACACGUUAUUUCACAUCCCCCAUAGUGAUAUUUGAUUCCGGCAUACUCGUAUUUUAAGCACCCGGCUUCUUUAGGUAUCCGAAAAAAACUUCAAGUCGGAAAAUUCCGCUCAUUCUAUGGUCUCGACUGAGGUCAGGGUGUCUAGCAUCAGAACUUUCCAGAUUUUCCCGAUUCUAUCCGGAUUUGAGUUCGAUCAGGAUUUAAGGAAAAAUCGGUCGUAAAAUCAGGAUUUGAGAAAAGUCGGCCGUCCGAUCGGAUUUUCUUAUCGAGCUAUUUAUGUGAAGUGACAUUCGGAAAAAUUCAAAUUCACAAAAAUCAGGAUCUGGAAAAAUUAUGAAAUCAGGAAAAAUCAGGAUUUCCCAAAAUGAAAAAAACUAGACACCCUGGUAAGGGAGGACACCCCCCCCCCUCCCGCGCGGGAACCCGCGCUUGCUUUACGCGCCAUUUUCAAAAAUUGGCGGGCGCGUUGCACCCCUCUCUGCGCGCACGCGCAAACGGACCCCAGCAUAUUUCCGUACGUGUCGUAACUUUUAAUUUACUAACCGAGAAACUCUGGCAGUUUCCAUUAAAUCUCUCCAGAAAAAUUUUCCCAUUACCUCAAUUUUCGCUGAAUGGAAGAAUGCGAUAGUGAGUCAUCAGGGUCGUGAACUCGCAACCCUUACGGAGCAGCCCAGGAAUCAAUGAGAUCCGUCAGGAGCAGUUGCCAGGGCAACCGAUCUUCUCCCCCCUCCUCCCCUCCGUUCCCGAGUCUCGGACGGCGCAAGAUUUUCCCGGGAUCACGAGCAUCGGAGUUUCCCGUCACUCCCGAUUUUCCAUCAUGUCAAUCUUCAGUUGCUUGAAAUAAUUCGUCUUUAUCACUUGGUGAGUUUUCUUUUCCUUCACUAAGGGCGGUUUAUUUUCGUAUGACUCUUAACUCAUUAUUCCUCCCCCCAGGCUACAGAGAAUUAGCAUGCUCAGCAAAGUUUAUAUCUCUAGGUGUCUCUCCUCUUUGUACCCACUAUUUUUCCUUGAAAGAAGAAAAAUUCAAAAAAAAUUGUAAAUUUUUAGUGCAGAAUAUUUUUUGGGGGAUGGCAGGAAAAAACUGUAUAUUUGAGGGUUGCACCCUGUCUGUCGCUUGAUUUAUCUCCCUUUAAAUUUUUGUAAUCGUGACUUUGUUUGUUCCAAUUAAUCAUUUGUUGUCAAUUUUUUUUAGAGAGAGGUUAUUGUUAUCUCAGUAGUACCUGCCGAGUCUUUCGAAUUUCCCCCAAUCGGAUUAGAUUCGAUUUCCUAGAAAAUAGAGGAAAUUGGACGGCAGAAGAUUUGUUUAUCUCCUCUCUCAAAGUUGUGACACUCAAUGGUUCUAAGUGUUCAUCCGUCUAUUUGCGAGGAAAACAAUGGGGAUGGUCUCAUUAUCUAACAUAUCUCAUGGUCACAACGCAAAUUUUAAUUUGCUAAAAAUUCCUAGGGACACAUGAAAAAUUACUUUUGGAAGCAAUUUUCAAGAUUCAAGAGUCACUAAAACUGCUUAAUCAAUUGAAAAUAUUAUUUUUGCCUCUUAUUGUGUUGAGUAAAUACAGUGUUUUAUUUAAUUUUAUCAAUUUUUUUAUUCUAUAACCCCCCUUUUCCAGGAAAAUGAAGGCAAAUAAUUGCUCCUGCACUGCAUCUGUUAUUUAGCAUCGCAUGUCUACAUUAUGUGUCAACAGACGCUCGCAACCCCUCAACUUUUUACAUAGGUGGAGUUCUCAGCAACAAUGAAAGUCUCGCCCACUUCAAAACAUAAUAUCGGUGAGUAAAACGUUUAUUAUUGUGAAUAACAAUCUAAUACGCUGCAUUAUUUUAAUUCUGCUGUGGAUUUUUGUUUGACUUAGUUCAAAUAUUUGUUUUGUCUAACACUGUUGUAUUUUGAUAAUUUUCUUAGGUGCUGAAUUUUGACAGUACUUUUGUCAACCGUGGAGUAACGUUUUAUGAUGCUGCCAUUCUGAUAGAUGCCAACCCCAUUCGCACUGCCUAAACGUGUGCAAAGAUUUGAUCGGGAGUAAAGGAGUAAGUAAUUUUCAGUGGAAGUGUUAGUUCAUUACGGAAGUUUUUCAUCGUCUUCACAUGUUCGUUUAUUUUGCCUCUCUUUCAU